GACGAACGCUGGCGGCGUGCUUAACACAUGCAAGUCGUACGGUAAGGCCCUUUCGGGGGUACACGAGUGGCGAACGGGUGCGUAACACGUGAGUAACCUGCCCACAACUUUGGGAUAACGCUAGGAAACUGGUGCUAAUACUGGAUAUGUGCUCCUGCUGCAUGGUGGGGGUUGGAAAGCUCCGGCGGUUGUGGAUGGACUCGCGGCCUAUCAGCUUGUUGGUGGGGUAGUGGCCUACCAAGGCGGCGACGGGUAGCCGGCCUGAGAGGGUGACCGGCCACAUUGGGACUGAGAUACGGCCCAGACUCCUACGGGAGGCAGCAGUGGGGAAGAUUGCACAAGGGGCGCAAGCCUGAUGCAGCAACGCCGCGUGCGGGAUGACGGCCUUCGGGUUGUAAACCGCGUUCAGCAGGGACGAAGCUUUUUGUGACGGUACCUGCAGAAGAAGCACCGGCUAACUACGUG
rnacentral:rRNA from 1 species